AUUGAACGCUGGCGGCAGGCCUAACACAUGCAAGUCGAACGAGUGGCGGACGGGUGAGUAAUGACAGGGACAAUGCCUGAUGGAGGGGGAUAACUACUGGAAACGGUAGCUAAUACCGCAUACCAUAGGAGGUGCCCAGAUGGGCUUAGCUGGUAGGUGGGGUAAAGGCUCACAAAGGGGACGAACCCUAGCUGGUCAGAGAGGAUGACCAGCCACACUUGGACGGAGGAACGGUCCAGACUGCUACGUGAGGCAGCAGUGGGGAAGAUUGCACAAUGGGCGCAAGCCUGAUGCAGCCAUGCCGCGUGUAUGAAGAAGGCUGUCGGGUUGUAAAGUACUUUCAGCGGGGCGGCGUGACCCGCAGAAGAAGCACCGGCUAACUCCGUGCCAGCCGCCGCGGUAAUUG
rnacentral:rRNA from 1 species